ensembl:lncRNA
UCAUCUCCUCAGAGGCCCGUGAUCCCGUUGGGAGUAGAGCGGCUAGCGAGAUGCCGCAUCAUUGCUGUAUCUAACACGCAUUUUAUUUGCACUAGAAAAUAAAUUCGUUGGCUACAUCGACGUGGUCCUCUGCUGUCAUCGUUCCCCACACCCGCACACACAACGCAGAGAGAGGGUCAGAGAGUUGGGCCAGACCGGCUACAGUGGUGCCGUGAACCGGAUCCACGCUGCUUCAGACUGGUUCAGACUGGUUCGUCGUGAUUCCUGGAGCAGUGGAUCAACACCAGCUUGGACACCGGAGGUUGCCCUCAGUUACAUCCUGCAUCCAGAAGAUUUCCAGAGCAGUAUCUGCAUCGUUUUAGCUGAAUGGAGGAGCUUUGAAGGCCUCAGACACACAUCUGUGACUGUAAGACGUGAAUUUGGGACGUUCUGGAUCCGACUGGCGGCUUCCUGCUGUUGGAAAUGUCAUCGUCUCCAUUAACAGCAGAGAAACGCCGAAAAGGCUGCUGCUGCCUCACACUCGAUAGUGAUGAAGGAGGAAUUCAUCUGUGAGGUCAGUCGAUACCCACCGCGAUGGAGAGAGUGCUUUCAGAGGAAAACGAAGCCAUGAAUGGUGGAACACUCCGGUGGUGAAUCAUUAAUCGAUGUUGGGGGCAACGCCUGCAUAACGGCCAGAUAAUGAUGUGGGAACGAACCUGGUCAAUAAGAAAAUGACGGAGAGUCAUUAGGACUUCUUCUGCAGAGAGUUUACUCGUUUCUUUAACCCUUUUUCCCAACAUGACUGGAAUGUUGUCCAAAAAUUACUUCAGAUAUGUCCAAAGUUAUGUGAGAUUUGUC